GCGUUCUCCGGGGUGAUCAGGUAGGCGGCCUCCGGAGCCGUGCGCGCAGGUUCGAAUCCUGCAGGGGGCGCACCA
rnacentral:tRNA from 1 species